AUCUAUUCGGUGACAUCUAAUAAAAUUGAAACAAUACAAAGAAUAUUAACAUGACUCAUGCACAAGAUUACGCGCAUAAAUCGAAAAAUAUACUAUUGUU